UAGUAACAAGAGGUAACCCCUCUCUACAGUGUAGGUAUACACCAACAAGAACCCACCAUUGGCAAUCAACAGAUUUAAAUAAAAGUGGCAACUUCCCCAGAAAACCCCACUCCCUCAGCUGUUAACCUAAUACCAGAACACUUCAAGAAAGAUUAAAAGAAAGAGAAGGAACUCGGCAAACAUUAGCCCCGCCUGUUUACCAAAAACACCGCCUCUUGCUCCCAUAAGAGGUCUAGCCUGCCCAGUGACUUCUGUUCAACGGCCGCGGUAUCCUAACCGUGCAAAGGUAGCGUAAUCACUUGUCUCCUAAAUAGAGACUAGUAUGAAUGGCAUCACGAGGACUAAGCUGUCUCCUCUCCCUAAUCAGUGAACCUAAUAACCCCGUGAAGAAGCGGGGAUUUUUAUAUAAGACGAGAAGACCCUGUGGAGCUUAAAUCAUUAUAACACCUGCCACCUCACUCUAUCUACCCAGGUUUUCCCCCCCCCCCGUGGCACCAUGAUUAUAUGUUUUUGGUUGGGGUGACCGCGGAGAAAAACCUAUCCUCCACAAUGAAAGGGACUUCCCUAAACAGUAAGCUACAACUUUAUGUAUCAGCAAACUGACAUCCAUUGACCCAAUAUAUUUGAUUAACGAACCAAGUUACCCCAGGGAUAACAGCGCAAUCCACUUCGAGAGCCCCUAUCGACAAGUGGGCUUACGACCUCGAUGUUGGAUCGUGGUAUCCUAGUGGUG
rnacentral:rRNA from 1 species